rnacentral:lncRNA from 1 species
GAGGCAAGGAAUAACUAUGUGAAUUGUUCCUUAUGCACGCACGCCAUCUUCUCCUAAUUUUUUGUCGCACAAAAAUCAUUCCUAACACCCUUAUCAGAUAAGAAGCGAUCCUCUUCUAUAUUUGAAUCAAAUUCAAAAAAAAAAAUUGAGUCAUAAGGGAGAGAGAAUCCCAGAUAAGGUGGGGUGUCAACUAUUGGCGCCCCCUUAUCUUUCACACGUGCAAAGAAAAAGAUGCAUCCCUCCUUCCUUUCUGCAA